UGUGCGUCCCCUGGUCGCUGAUUGGCCAGUGCGAAGAGCACGGGGCCCGUGAUUGGAGGCCAGGACAGGAGUUGUCCAUCCUUUGCUAGGCUGAGCCAUGUGGGUGAGAGUUCUGGAUCGCUUGACAAGAGCCUUAGGAAUACCACCUCCCCCAAUGAUGAUGAUGACAACAUCGACAGAAGUAUUCUUCCAUCAACAUGGCUGUGUCUACACUGGUGGUUAGGUUGGCAUAGCUAUGUUGCUCAAGGGUCUCAUUAGGGAGCUACAGAUGAAAAUACUAAUAUGGGGAUAAUGUAUUUCAUCAUGUGUGAGCUUGUAACCCCAAGGAGUCUGCUGCAGCCAGUCACCAUGAUUCAGUGCACUCAGCACACAUAGGAGUUGUUCGCUUACUCAGUCUCCAUAGAGAGAACCAUGGUUGUUACUAUGCAGUGCUGAAUUAAAACACAUUUUUCCUUUCUAAUCAACUCACACAUUUGCAACUGAUUGUGUUAGUUCUUAUUAUGUAUUCUUUGACUUAUGUAGCAGGCGUCACAUUUAUAGAUAAGCACUUUUCAUAAACUUUACACAAGUAUUUCCUUCUGAUAUGAAGUGUUGACUCAACAAUCCAUCAG